GAUGAACGCUGGCGGCGUGCUUAACACAUGCAAGUCGAACGAAGCACUUUAUUUGAUUUCCUUCGGGACUGAUUAUUUUGUGACUGAGUGGCGGACGGGUGAGUAACGCGUGGGUAACCUGCCUUGUACAGGGGGAUAACAGUUGGAAAUGGCUGCUAAUACCGCAUAAGCGCCCAGCAUCGCAUGAUGCAGUGUGAAAAACUCCGGUGGUAUAAGAUGGACCCGCGUUGGAUUAGCUAGUUGGUGAGGUAACGGCCCACCAAGGCGACGAUCCAUAGCCGACCUGAGAGGGUGACCGGCCACAUUGGAGCUGAGACACGGCCGAAAAUCCUACGGGAGGCAGCAGUGGGGAAUAUUGCAAAAUGGGGGAAAGCCUGAUGCAGCGACGCCGGGUGAGCGAAGAAGUAUUUCGGUAUGUAAAGCUCUAUCAGCAGGGAAGAUAAUGACGGUACCUGACGAAGAAGCACCGGCUAAAUACGUG
rnacentral:rRNA from 1 species